GGGAGUUUGGUCUAGUGGUAUGAUUCUCGCUUCGGGUGCGAGAGGCCGCGAGGUUUGAUUCUCGCAACUCCCC
rnacentral:tRNA from 1 species